rnacentral:lncRNA from 1 species
GCCAGCCUAUUAUUCAAACUCUUUCAAUCAUGAUAUAUCCUUAAAUUGUAUUUAAACUUGCUGGGAAACUUUCAUGCUCACCCUUGCUAUAUCAUGAUAAAACAUUGCAGAUUAAGGCGAAUGCGUCAGAUUAAAGAAAGAUAAAGCCAAGCUCAGCUUGGGACUAUGUGUGCAACUAGAUUUGUUAAAGUAUUUUAUUAU